rnacentral:rRNA from 1 species
CUACGGGUUGCAGCAGUGGGGAAUAUUGCACAAUGGGCGCAAGCCUGAUGCAGCCAUGCCACGUGUAUGAAGAUGGCCUUCGGGUUGUAAAGUACUUUCAGCGGGGAGGAAGGGAGUAAAGUUAAUACCUUUGCUCAUUGACGUUACCCGCAGAAGAAGCACCGGCUAACUCCGUGCCAGCAGCCGCGGUAAUACGGAGGGUGCAAGCGUUAAUCGGAAUUACUGGGCGUAAAGCGCACGCAAGCGGUUUGUUAAGUCAGAUGUGAAAUCCCCGGGCUCAACCUGGGAACUGCAUCUGAUACUGGCAAGCUUGAGUCUCGUGGAGGGGGGUAGAAUUCCAGGUGUAGCGGUGAAAUGCGUAGAGAUCUGGAGGAAUACCGGUGGCGAAGGCGGCCCCCUGGACGAAGACUGACGCUCAGGUGCGAAAGCGUGGGGAGCAAACAGGAUUAGAUACCCGGGUAGUC